UCUUAAGUUUAAUAGAAAUAACUUUUAUUUUAGUAAAUUUUAUUGAAAAGAUUUUUAUUUUUAUAGUUUAUAGUACUGUGAAGGAAUAUUCUUAUUAAUGGAUAAAGUAAAAUUUGUUUUUUGUACCUUUUGUAUCAGGGUUAAUUAAUUUUAAUAACUGAAGGUUAUUUUCCCGAAAUGAGGGGAGAUAAGAGUAUAUGGAAGUUAAUGUUUCAAAAUUAUUUGUAAUAUACUUUUAGUAACGAAAUGUUAUUCGUUCCUCAUUUAUCUGGUUUUCUUAGAAUUGAAUUUAAUUCAGGUUAUAUUCAUUAAAUUAAUAAUUUUUUGUUAAUUUAAGUUUUAUUUCUAAUACUUUUGGGGAUAAGCUCAGAAGUGAUUUUAUAACUUAUAGUAAUAGGAUUUUUGUAGGCUUAGAAUCAGCCAUCAUUAAUUUCGUUAUAGAAUAUGUUCAUAAUUGUUUUAUUUUAUUGGGUUUAAAUUUAUAUAAGAAUUUCUUAUUUAAUUUUUUAUUAAGUGUAAUUAUGAUUAGAUUAGUAUAUCUUUAAGUUAAUUUAUAGUAACUCGGCAAAUAUAUUGCUCGCCUGUUUAACAAAAACAUGUCCUUUUGUUUAUAAAUAUAAGGUCUGGCCUGCCCAAUGAUUAAAAUUGAAUGGCCGCGGUAUUUUAACUGUGCUAAGGUAGCAUAAUCAUUUGUCUUUUAAUUAAAGGCUGGAAUGAAUGGUUGGACGAAGUAAUAACUUUCUUUAAAUUAAUUGAUUGAAUUUAAUUUUUUAGUCAAAAAGCUAAAAUGUGUUUGAGGGACGAGAAGACCCUAUAGAUCUUUAUAAUUUAUUAUAUUGUAUAUUUUGGUGAAUUAAUUAUUAUUAAUAUAAUUAAUUAUUUGGUUGGGGCGACUGUAGAAUUUAUUUAACUUCUAUUAUUAUCUUUCAAUAAUUUUUGUAUAAUUGAUCCAUUUAUUAUGAUUAUAGGAUUAAGUUACCUUAGGGAUAACAGCGUAAUUUCUUUGGAGAGCUCCUAUCGAUAAAGAAGUUUGCGACCUCGAUGUUGGAUUAAAAUAAGUAGUGGGUGCAGUAGCUCAUUUACUAGGUCUGUUCGACCUUUAAUUUUUUACAUGAUCUGAGUUCAGACCGGCGUGAGCCAGGUCAGUUUCUAUCUUCAAAUUAUAAUUUUAGAGUUUAGUACGAAAGGACCAACUUUAAGGAAUAACUUCUUUAAAAUUUGAUUUAUAUUACUAUUUUGGCAGAUUAGUGCGA
rnacentral:rRNA from 1 species